rnacentral:sRNA from 1 species
UCUUAGCCCAGAUUGAAGCGACAUCCUUUUGGGGUACGGCUGGAACGAAGUGGAAGCCGUACCCCAAAAGAUACAGCGGAAAGCUGGAAAAGGC